GAUUUGGAGGUAGUGAGUUAUCUCAAUUGAUUACUCAGGCUAUUACCGUUCAAACUUUUUGUUCCACACUCUCCCCCUUCUCACUACUGCUCUUGACUAAUCUUCU
ensembl:misc_RNA Y_RNA Y RNA